rnacentral:rRNA from 1 species
CCCUUAGAUGUCCUGGGCUGCACGCGCGCUACACUGAUGUGUCCAGUAAGCACCUAACCUCUUCCGAAAGGAACGGGUAACCUUUGCAAAGCACAUCGUGAUGGGGAUAGAUUAUUGCAAUUAUUGAUCUUGAACGAGGAAUUCCUAGUAAACGCGAGUCAUCAGCUCGCAUUGAUUACGUCCCUGCCCUUUGUACACACCGCCCGUCGCACCUACCGAUUGAAUGUUUCGGUGAAGAUUCCGGAUAGGACUUUUUUGAUUUAUUUCAAUUUUGUCUUAAAAGCUAUCUAAACCUCAACAUUUAGAGGAAGGUGAAGUCGUAACA